rnacentral:tRNA from 1 species
GGCGGCGUAGCCAAGUGGUAAGGCAGAAGUCUGCAAAACUUCCAUCCGUCGGUUCGAUUCCGACCGCCGCCUCCA